UGGGGAAUUUUGGACAAUGGGGGCAACCCUGAUCCAGCAAUGCCGCGUGAAGGAUGAAGUAUUUCGGUAUGUAAACUUCGAAAGAAUAGGAAGAAUAAAUGACGGUACUAUUUAUAAGGUCCGGCUAACUACGUGCCAGCAGCCGCGGUAAUACGUAGGGACCAAGCGUUGUUCGGAUUUACUGGGCGUAAAGGGCGCGUAGGCGGCAUGACAAGUCACUUGUGAAAUCUCUGGGCUUAACCCAGAACGGCCAAGUGAUACUGUCGCGCUAGAGUGCAGAAGGGGCAAUCGGAAUUCUUGGUGUAGCGGUGAAAUGCGUAGAUAUCAAGAGGAACACCUGAGGUGAAGACGGGUUGCUGGGCUGACACUGACGCUGAGGCGCGAAAGCCAGGGGAGCAAACGGGAUUAGAUACCCGAGUAGUCCCUGAGCGGGCUGGCAAGGCGCAU
rnacentral:rRNA from 1 species